AUUUCCAUGGUGUAGUGGUUAUCACAUCCGCCUGACACGCGGAAAGUCCUUGGUUUGACCCCAGCCGGAAAUA